rnacentral:rRNA from 1 species
CGGUUGAUCCUGCCGGACCCCACUGCUAUCGGGAUGGGACUAAGACAUGCUAGUCGUGCGUCUCCCAAGCCAUGUUGUAGAGGCGCGACGCACAGCUCAUUAACACGUGGCCAACCUACCCUUGGGACGGGAAUAACCCCGGGAAACUGGGGCUAAUUCCCGAUAGGUGAAGAUUCCUGGAAUGGAUCUUCACCUAAAGGACGCUUAGAUCAUGCUUCUAAGCGUCGCCCAAGGACGGGGCCGCGUCCGAUCAGGUUGUUGGUGAGGUAACGGCUCACCAAGCCUUUAACCGGUACGGGCCGUGAGAGCGGGAGCCCGGAGAUGGGCACUGAGACAAGGGCCCAGGCCCUACGGGGCGCAGCAGUCGCGAAAACUCCGCAAUACGCGAAAGCGUGACGGGGCCAUCCCGAGUGCCGUCCGCUGAGGACGGCUUUUCCCCAGUGUAUAUAGCUGGGGGAAUAAGGAGAGGGCAAGUCUGGUGUCAGCCGCCGCGGUAAUACCAGCUCUCCGAGUGGUGGGGAUAUUUAUUGGGCCUGAAGCAUCCGUAGCCGGCCGAACAAGUCCCCCGUUAAAUCCAACGAUUCAAUCGUUGGACUGCGGGGGAUACUGUUCGGCUAGGGGGUGGGAGAGGCCGACGGUAUUCCCAGGGUAGGGGUGAAAUCCUAUAAUCCUGGGAAGACCACCAGUGGCGAAGGCUGUCGGCUAGAACACGCCCGACGGUGAGGGAUGAAAGCUGGGGGAGCGAACCGGAUUAGAUACCCGGGUAGUCCCAGCCGUAAACGAUGCAGGCUAGGUGUUAGGGCGGCCACGUGCCGCCCUAGUGCCGCAAGGAAGCUGUUAAGCCUGCCGCCUGGGAAGUACGGCCGCAAGGCUGAAACUUAAAGGAAUUGGCGGGGGAGCAC